rnacentral:lncRNA from 1 species
AGGGAUGCAGGUGAAGGACAUAAGCUCGAAGGGACUUGAUCUUUUGCUUGAGGUGAUCAAGACUUGAUGGUUCUUCACACCAUUUGGAUGUACACUUGUAUAGUGAGUUUUUCCUUUCGUGUAUACUACAUACUUGUGGACUCUUUUGCAUGUUUUAUACUUAUAUCAUGCUGUGAAUAUACCAUGGUAGGCUAGCCACCUUUCAUGUUAGCAUAUGUGAUCUUCAUGUAUAUCUUGUCA